AGCAGCCGCGGUAAUUCCAGCUCCAAUAGCGUAUAUUAAAGUUGUUGCAGUUAAAAAGCUCGUAGUUGAAUUUCGGGAUCAAUUAAUUGGUCGUGCCUAUGGUACGUACUGAUUUUAUUGGUUUCUCCCUUCUGACGAACCAUGAUGUCAUUAAUUUGGUGUCGUGAAGAAUCAGGACUGUUACUUUGAAAAAAUUAGAGUGUUUAAAGCAAGCUAACGCUUGAAUACAUUAGCAUGGAAUAAUGAAAUAGGACGUUUGAUCCUAUUUUGUUGGUUUCUAGGAUCGACGUAAUGAUUAAUAGGGAUAGUUGGGGGCAUUAGUAUUCAAUUGUCAGAGGUGAAAUUCUUGGAUUUAUUGAAGACUAACUACUGCGAAAGCAUUUGCCAAGGAUGUUUUCAUUAAUCAAGAACGAAAGUUAGGGGAUCGAAGACGAUCAGAUACCGUCGUAGUCUUAACCAUAAACUAUGCCGACUAGGGAUCGGAUGAUGUUAAUUUUUUUUAAUGACUCAUUCGGCGCCUUAUG
rnacentral:rRNA from 1 species